rnacentral:rRNA from 1 species
UAUGUAAGAUCUUUGUGGAAGGUCAUGGAGAUGAUACAAUGCUGAAUAGAGUUAUAUACUCUCACUGCCCGCUAUACAUGAAUAGAAUCUCGAUUUAGUUUUUUAGUUAUAUUUAUUUUAAUGAUUAUUUAGGUGAAAGUAAUCUUAUUAAAGUUUUGAUUUAGGUAUUAAAUAUUAUUUUAACAUUAAGUGGUGGAGAAUUAAUAAUUGACGUGGAACUGGACUUUAUUUAAAGUUAAUUUUAAUAUCAUUUAAUUUAAGAAUAUUUUAUUUGAAUAUUGCCUCUAUAUGUUUAACUAUUUGUUUUAAUUCUUUCUUAUUUGCCCCUGAUAGCUAAUUCCCUGUUUAAGGAGAUUUAUCUGAUUCUAUGGCGGUUUAGGAAAUCCAAAAUUUCUUGUAUUGAUUAUGAUGGGAUUAAUUUUAAAUGUACAUUUUAUUAUCCCAUAGAUUAGGAUCAAAUUUAUUAUGUAAAUUUUCUUAGAUUUUUUCUAAUUAUUCUUAAACUAUAAAGUGGUUUUUUAUUUAUUUAAUUUGAAUUUUUUUUUAUUUGAAGUUAUUGGUUUUUAUAAUUAAAUAUAAAUAACAUAUUGGCGCAUACGACCGUGUUGGUAUAUGUUAUAAUUUUUUAUACAGGUUCAGAUUUAAUUGAAUUAUGAAUUAUAUUUUAUGACGUUUAUUUAUUAUAGUUAAUUUGUUUUUAAAUGUACAUAUAUGAUUAAUAUUAAUUAUAUUAAUCAGUCUUAGUUUGAUUGUAGAAU